AUUGAACGCUGGCGGCAUGCCUAACACAUGCAAGUCGAACGGAGGUAGGGGCAACUCUACUUCAGUGGCGGACGGGUGAGGAAUGCGUCGGAAUCUACCCUAUGGUGGGGGAUAACACAGGGAAACUUGUGCUAAUACCGCAUAAUGUCGAGAGACCAAAGCAGGGGACCGCAAGGCCUUGCGCGAUAGGAUGAGCCGACGCCCGAUUAGCUAGUUGGUAGGGUAAAGGCCUACCAAGGCGACGAUCGGUAGCUGGUCUGAGACGAUGAUCAGCCACACUGGGACUGAGACACGGCCCAGACUCCUACGGGAGGCAGCAGUGGGGAAUAUUGGACAAUGGGCGCAAGCCUGAUCCAGCAAUGCCGCGUGUGUGAAGAAGGUCUGCGGGUUGUAAAGCACUUUUGUUCGGGAAGAAAUCAUGCUGGUUAAUACCUGGUAUGGAUGACGGUACCGAAAGAAUAAGCACCGGCUAACUUCGUGCCAGCAGCCG
rnacentral:rRNA from 1 species